AAAAAGACAAACCCUGGGUUUCUGUGUCCAAUAUUUGAUUGUCCGUCUUAUAUGAAAUUUGUUUUAUAAUUAGUAUUUUCAUUGUUGUUAGAUGAUAAAACAUGAUUAAUACUUUAUGCUUGACUUGACUUUUUAAUUUUUUUCAUAUUUUUUUCAAAUAAGACAGACGGUCAAAUGUUGGACACGAAAACCCAGGGUUUGUCUUCUU
rfam:Oryza glaberrima chromosome 5 Oglab05_0102_15, whole genome shotgun sequence.